rnacentral:snRNA from 1 species
GAUGAUGCAUUGGUACUGAAAGG